rnacentral:rRNA from 1 species
AGUAGUUUGACUCCGUGGCUACGAGGACGACGCUGGCGGCGUGCUUAACACAUGCAAGUCGAACGAUGAACCAGGGCUUGCCCUGGGGAUUAGUGGCGAACGGGUGAGUAACACGUGGGCAACCUGCCCCAGACACCGGGAUAACCUCUCGAAAGAGUGGCUAAUACCGGAUAUGACCACUUCGGGCAUCCGACGGUGGUGGAAAGGAUUCUGGUCUGGGAUGGGCCCGCGGCCUAUCAGCUAGUUGGUGGGGUAAUGGCCUACCAAGGCGACGACGGGUAGCCGGCCUGAGAGGGCGACCGGCCACACUGGGACUGAGACACGGCCCAGACUCCUACGGGAGGCAGCGGUGGGGAAUAUUGCGCAAUGGGCGAAAGCCUGACGCAGCGGCGCCGCGUGAGGGACGAAGGUCUUCGGAUUGUAAACCUCUUUCAGCAGGGACGAAGCGAAAGUGACUGUACCUGCAGAAGAAGCACCGGCUAACUACGUG